rnacentral:rRNA from 1 species
UACGUAGGUGACAAGCGUUGUCCGGAUUUACUGGGCGUAAAGAGCGCGCAGGCGGUCGUUCAAGUCGAGUGUGAAAGCCCCCGGCUCAACUGGGGAGGGUCAUUCGAUACUGAUCGACUCGAAGGCAGGAGAGGGAAGUGGAAUUCCCGGUGUAGUGGUGAAAUGCGUAGAUAUCGGGAGGAACACCAGUGGCGAAAGCGGCUACCUGGCCCAUUCUUGACGCUGAGGCGCGAAAGCUAGGGGAGCAAACGGGG